UCUCUCGAUCUCUUCCCCGCAAACUCAUCUCAUCCACGAAUUUCUUAUCUCCUCGCUAACAAACUACUUCUCGUCCACGACCAGCUCCCAUCGAGAGGAUCACGGCACCGGCGGAGGAGAAAUGGGAGGCGCUGGCGGUGCGGAUCGAACAGCGACGCUGGGUCCUAGGCCUCUCCUGCGCCAUGGACGACGGUGGCGGCGGGGAGGUGCGGCUCGCCAGGAAAAAGGGCAUGACGAAGCGAGGUCUGUCGGCGGCGCCGCCGCCUCCUGCGGAGAGGGGCAGGGACCGGAGUCGAUCUGGCAUGACUACCACGAUUUGCUCCAGGUGAGCCUCUUCCCUGGUCUGGGCCGUCUCCAAUCGACGCCAUGAAGGGCUCCAACCCCGAGAUCUAUUCCGUCCGUCGCCUCCUCGAGUCGUCCACUGGCGCUCCGUCACGGUGCCUAACCUCUGCAACUGCGGCCUGAUGAAAGUUGAAGAUGCUAUCCAUAGAGGCAUAACUGUUCCCAAUUAAGGAAGCCAAAUAUCCUGGAGAAACUUUACCGAGUUUGGAUGGAACAGAUGAGUGAUGAGAAGUUAGAGCACUUUCUUUUGUAGAUUUUUUUGUGAAUUUUUCUGGAUGUAUUCACAUGUGUCCCGAUGUAUAAUUGCAAAGCUAAUAAAUAGUAUAUGGACGUGAUGGAUGGGUUA